rnacentral:rRNA from 1 species
UACAGGGGGGGGCAAACGUUGUUCGGAAUUACUGGGCGUAAAGGGCUCGUAGGCGGCCGGCUAAGUCCGACGUGAAAUCCCCAGGCUUAACCUGGGAACUGCGUCGGAUACUGGCGGGCUUGAAUCCGGGAGAGGGAUGCGGAAUUCCAGGUGUAGCGGUGAAAUGCGUAGAUAUCUGGAGGAACACCGGUGGCGAAGGCGGCAUCCUGGACCGGCAUUGACGCUGAAUAGCGAAAGCCAGGGGAGCAAACGGG